UUUGGGCCCAAUUACAACCAAAUUGGGCUCAUAUUUUGAGGUUCUUUCUUAAAAUGGCCUACUGUCUAUGUAGAGUUAAAAUUACUUUGCAGCCGUUAACCCAAAUUAAAACUUCAACGUUUUCAUUGCUCACAGUACAAUUCCUUUAUUCUUUCUUCUUCUCUAAUUUCAACUUCAACAGGUAUAUCUCCAUUGUCCAGUACCUCCCCAUUUGGUUUUAUGUUUUCAUUUUUCGUUUAGGUAUAUCUCCAUUGUCCCUCACCCGCAUUCAAUUUGAAUUUGUUGAAUAGAAUAUGUAGGAGAAUGUUGUUUGAAGCUGAAAAACGUGGCUGUCUAUUGAUUUAAGGCUGGGAAUAUGAACUGGAAGCAGAAACUCCAUAGAACGGCCAUUGUUGAAGCUCGAUGUUUCAAAAUUUGAAAGUCGGGUUUCUGCAAAUAAGCUCCGUUUUGAGUGAGUAUUGUUGCAAAAGAUCGAAUACGUAUUGAGGAGCCUACAUCUGAAUUUUAGGGUGUUAUUUGAUGUAGCAUUUUAGGCAUUUUGGAUGAAUUUGGUGCUUGGAUUCAACAAAGAAGACGAAAUCAGCUUUUGUAUAAUAUUGUAUACUAGCGUAUAUGGGUGUAUAAACACCUCUUAUACACUAUUAUACAAUAUUGAUACAAUGUUGACAUGUAUUUGGUGGAUUUCUCACUACUACUACUACUACUUCUAUGGUGUUGUCAAUGUUCAAGGAGAGGACAAGAAGAAGCUAGAUUUUCUCUCUAACGGGGUUUAAUUUAAACUUAUUGUUUUUGGACAAAUCUUUGCAAUGUAAGUUAUGGGCUAUAUUUUUGUAAUGUAAGUCAGCCAAUUGUAUGUUCAUGAAAUUUCCCUUUGAUUACCCUAUAUAUCAAUUUGGGCCCAGUUACAACCAAGUUGGGCCUAUAUUUGAGGUUCUUUCUUAAAAUGGCCUACUGUCUAUGUAAAGUUAAAAUUACUUUGCAUCCGUUAACCCACGUAAGACUUCAACAUUUUCAUCGCUCACAUUACAAUUCCUUUGUUUUUUCUUCUUGUCUGAUUUCAACUUCAACAGGUAUAUCUCCAUUGUCCCUUACUCGCAUUCAAUUCGAAUUGUUGAAUAUAAUCUGUAGGAGAAUGUUGUUUGAAGCUGAAAAAACAUGGCUAUCCAUUGAUUUAAGGCUGAGAAAGUGAACAGCAAGCAGAAACUCCAUAGAACGGCCAUUGUUGUAGCUCGAUGUUUCAAAGUUUGAAAAUCGGGUUUCUGCAAAUAAGCUCCAUUUUGAGUGGGUAUUGUUGCAAAAGACCGGGUAUGUAUUGAGGAGCCUAAAUCUGAAUUUUAGGGUGUGAUUUGAUGUAGCAUUUGAGGUAUUUUGGAUGAACUUGGUGCUUGAAUUCAACAAAGAAGACGAAGUCAGCUUUUGUAUUAUAUUGUAUACCAACGUGGCAGCGUAUAUGGGUGUAGAGUAUAAACAUCUCUUAUACACUAUUAUACAAGAUUGAUACAAUGUUCUUGUGUGGACUUCUUCUUCUUCUUCUUCAAGGAGAGGACAAGAAGCUUGAUUUUUUCUCUAACGGGGUUUAAUUUAAACCUAUUGUUUUUAGCCAAAGCUUUACAAUAUAAGUUAUGGGCUAUAUUUUUGCAAUGUAAGUCAGCCAAUUGUAUGUUCCUGAAAUUUCCCCUAAAAGUUAGGACAGAUUAUUGAAUUUAUUUUCCAAAAUUGCAUUGUAGUAAUUGCAGCUACAGACGCACUUAAAUAGUUACCUUGUAUUUUAUUAUAUAACAUU